rnacentral:misc_RNA from 1 species
CCGUACUCACUGCACAGUGUUUACGAAAUUAAAAUAAAUAAAAAUUUUGAUGCGAGACGGACCGCUUGAGGGAGUCGGGUCAGGCCUUGUCGGCCGCCACUCUCGAUGGUCGCACUCGUAAACGCAAAGCGUUCCUUCUCUUCUGCUUGGCCUUGCCGCAAUGCAGCCGCAACACAGAGUGUGUGUUUGCGCGCACGACGCAUCAGUGUACAGCUUCAGCCGCUGCCGUACUACUACGUAACCAUGAGCGGCUCUGACAUCACACGGGAACAAAAGUGAGAAAUAUUUUCCGUGCGUCAGAGUCUCGCGUAGUAGCGGUGGCGGGGCUGUGCCCGUGUGCCGAGUGCCGCACUCAACACACUUCUCGUGAUGCCCGCUGUUGGCAAGAAUAAAGCUGCAGGGAGUUGGGACGGCGACCGUGUAGAGGACCCUCUAGAGAGUAUGGGUCUGACGAAGCUUCGGUAUCGGACGCAAACACCCGUGUCCCGACUGUGCGUGUCGGCGCCGGCUGCUUUGGUAGUGCACACAGAGUUGUCGCUUCUACGGAUAUAUUACUCGUAGUCAGCGUCUCGCCUACCACCAUGAGCGAGCAGCCGGGGCGGGCCGUGCGGGGGUCACAUCAGCCGGUGAGUUGAUUUUAAAGCGAUGGGACUUCUCUCUCUCUCCCCGAGAGAGAAUCGUUCCGUUUCGCGCCGAAGCGAUUCCUUGUCGCCAUGUACCGUCUAAGUCCCGUGCUGGACAUUCGGAUGGGAGAUGCUCUGACGAAAAGCUCACCAUGAGAUUUAUAAUUUUCCCCUCACUAUUGCUGUUACUAUCCAAGAGUCUUGGAAAUAUGAGUGCUAGCGCUCUGCCGUGUAUACCGUACUGUUUUCACUCUCGCCCCGCACUAUGCGAACCCUGCGUGGGGCAAACAUGAGUGGGUGAGACAGUCGAGUGUGCACGCGCAGAGCGCUCAUUUUUUUUCCUGAGUAUGAGUGGCUCUCGGUGAACGCAGCGGUGGUGUGUCCGUGGAAAAUUCGAGCUGAAUAGUUGGUCCUCCGUUUUACUCGUAAGUCCACCUGAAUGAAAAUUGUCGCACGAUUACCCGCGCCUCACGGCAAAGGGAAAGGCGAUAAAA